GCUUCUGUCGAUUCGCUUAAUAGAACUCCACCGUGAUCGACGUCACAAAGUAACCGAUCAUUCCCUAUCAACCUGUUCAUUUUCCGUUGAAUUAUUAGCAACGCCGGUGACUGUAUAUCAACCCUGUUGGAUGAAACCAAUACCCAUGAUCAACAUCACCUCCCCUCCACCUUUGAACCACCGUAACCGACUUUUCCGGCAACCUCUCGUUAUCCCGAUCUUCUCAAACAGAAGGUAAAUCUUGCAAACAAUCGCUCGU
rnacentral:lncRNA from 1 species